CGUCUUUUGAUUCUUAUUACAUAAAAGAUAAUGCCUGCCCAGUGAAUUUUUAAACGGCCGCGUUAGCGUGAGCGUGCUAAGGUAGCGUAAUAAUUAGCCUCUUAAUUGGAGGCCAGUGAAAGGCAACACUAGGAAUACCUGUACUUUGUAUGAAAAAAGAACUUUUUUUCUAAGUGAAAAAUCUUAGAUAAUAAGGGAAGACGAAAAGACCCCGCGGAACUUUACCUUUUCUAUUAAGAUUUUAUAUCAAUUAAAAUAAUUCUCAAUAAGGUUUGAUUGGGGCAAUCUCGGAACCACCUAAACUUCCGACUUUUUUUUAAAAAAAAUAAAAAACUUGUUUUGGACUAAAAAGAAGUUACCCCGGGGAUAACAGCGUUAUCCAACUCGAGAGUACACAUCGAAAGUUGGGUUUGCGACCUCGAUGUUGGCUUAAGGACAUCCACAUUAGUGCAGCCGCUAUGAAUGGAUAGUCUGUUCGACUAUUAUAACCUU
rnacentral:rRNA from 1 species